GAUGAACGCUAGCUACAGGCUUAACACAUGCAAGUCGAGGGGCAGCAUUUUAGUUUGCUUGCAAACUAAAGAUGGCGACCGGCGCACGGGUGAGUAACACGUAUCCAACCUGCCGAUAACUCGGGGAUAGCCUUUCGAAAGAAAGAUUAAUAUCCGAUAGUAUAUUAAAACCGCAUGGUUUUACUAUUAAAGAAUUUCGGUUAUCGAUGGGGAUGCGUUCCAUUAGUUUGUUGGCGGGGUAACGGCCCACCAAGACUACGAUGGAUAGGGGUUCUGAGAGGAAGGUCCCCCACAUUGGAACUGAGACACGGUCCAAACUCCUACGGGAGGCAGCAGUGAGGAAUAUUGGUCAAUGGACGAGAGUCUGAACCAGCCAAGUAGCGUGAAGGAUGACUGCCCUAUGGGUUGUAAACUUCUUUUAUAUGGGAAUAAAGUAUUCCACGUGUGGGAUUUUGUAUGUACCAUAUGAAUAAGGAUCGGCUAACUCCGUGCCAGCAGCCGCGGUAAUACGGAGGAUCCGAGCGUUAUCCGGAUUUAUUGGGUUUAAAGGGAGCGUAGGUGGAUUGUUAAGUCAGUUGUGAAAGUUUGCGGCUCAACCGUAAAAUUGCAGUUGAAACUGGCAGUCUUGAGUACAGUAGAGGUGGGCGGAAUUCGUGGUGUAGCGGUGAAAUGCUUAGAUAUCACGAAGAACUCCGAUUGCGAAGGCAGCUCACUAGACUGCAACUGACACUGAUGCUCGAAAGUGUGGGUAUCAAACAGGAUUAGAUACCCUGGUAGUCCACACAGUAAACGAUGAAUACUCGCUGUUUGCGAUAUACAGUAAGCGGCCAAGCGAAAGCAUUAAGUAUUCCACCUGGGGAGUACGCCGGCAACGGUGAAACUCAAAGGAAUUGACGGGGGCCCGCACAAGCGGAGGAACAUGUGGUUUAAUUCGAUGAUACGCGAGGAACCUUACCCGGGCUUAAAUUGCAUUUGAAUAAUCUGGAAACAGGUUAGCCGCAAGGCAAAUGUGAAGGUGCUGCAUGGUUGUCGUCAGCUCGUGCCGUGAGGUGUCGGCUUAAGUGCCAUAACGAGCGCAACCCUUAUCUUUAGUUACUAACAGGUCAUGCUGAGGACUCUAGAGAGACUGCCGUCGUAAGAUGUGAGGAAGGUGGGGAUGACGUCAAAUCAGCACGGCCCUUACGUCCGGGGCUACACACGUGUUACAAUGGGGGGUACAGAAGGCAGCUACCUGGCGACAGGAUGCUAAUCCCAAAAACCUCUCUCAGUUCGGACUGGAGUCUGCAACCCGACUCCACGAAGCUGGAUUCGCUAGUAAUCGCGCAUCAGCCACGGCGCGGUGAAUACGUUCCCGGGCCUUGUACACACCGCCCGUCAAGCCAUGGGAGCCGGGGGUACCUGAAGUGCGUAACCGCGAGGAGCGCCCUAGGGUAAAACUGGUGACUGGGGCUA
rnacentral:rRNA from 1 species